CGGGGCGCGCAGGCGGCGUGUCAAGUCGGACGUGAAAACCCCUGGCUCAACUGGGGGAUGUCGUUCGAAACUGGCAUGCUUGAGUGCAGGAGAGGGAAGCGGAGUACCCGGUGUAGCGGUGAAAUGCGUAGAUAUCGGGAGGAACACCAGUGGCGAAGGCGGCUUCCUGGACUGCUACUGACGCUGAGGCGCGAAAGCUGGGGGAGCGAACAGGAUUAGAUACCCUGGUAGUCCCAGCCGUAAACGAUGAACACUAGGUGUGGGAGGUAUCGACCCCUUCCGUGCCGCAGCUAACGCAAUAAGUGUUCCGCCUGGGGAGUACGGCCGCAAGGCUAAAACUCAAAGGAAUUGGCGGGGGAGCACA
rnacentral:rRNA from 1 species